rnacentral:rRNA from 1 species
UCAGGCCUAACACAUGCAAGUCGAGCGGAUGACGGGAGCUUGCUCCUUGAUUCAGCGGCGGACGGGUGAGUAAUGCCUAGGAAUCUGCCUGGUAGUGGGGGACAACGUUUCGAAAGGAACGCUAAUACCGCAUACGUCCUACGGGAGAAAGCAGGGGACCUUCGGGCCUUGCGCUAUCAGAUGAGCCUAGGUCGGAUUAGCUAGUAGGUGAGGUAAUGGCUCACCUAGGCGACGAUCCGUAACUGGUCUGAGAGGAUGAUCAGUCACACUGGAACUGAGACACGGUCCAGACUCCUACGGGAGGCAGCAGUGGGGAAUAUUGGACAAUGGGCGAAAGCCUGAUCCAUCAAGGCCGCGUGUGUGAAGAAGGUCUUCGGAUUGAAAGCACAUGAAGUUGGGAGGAAGGGCAGUAAGCUAAUACCUUGCUGUU